GACGAACGCUGGCGGCGUGCUUAACACAUGCAAGUCGAACGGAAAGGCCCUGCUUUUGUGGGGUGCUCGAGUGGCGAACGGGUGAGUAACACGUGAGUAACCUGCCCUUGACUUUGGGAUAACUUCAGGAAACUGGGGCUAAUACCGGAUAGGAGCUCCUGCUGCAUGGUGGGGGUUGGAAAGUUUCGGCGGUUGGGGAUGGACUCGCGGCUUAUCAGCUUGUUGGUGGGGUAGUGGCUUACCAAGGCUUUGACGGGUAGCCGGCCUGAGAGGGUGACCGGCCACAUUGGGACUGAGGUACGGCCCAGAAGCCUACGGGAGGCAGCAGUGGGGAAUAUUGCACAAUGGGCGGAAGCCUGAUGCAGCAACGCCGCGUGCGGGAUGACGGCCUUCGGGUUGUAAACCGCUUUCGCCUGUGACGAAGCGUGAGUGACGGUAAUGGGUAAAGAAGCACCGGCUAACUACGUG
rnacentral:rRNA from 1 species